rnacentral:tmRNA from 1 species
AAAGGUCUCGACGGGGGUUUGGAGCCCAUAGUAGCGAGUGGAGGUUUUUCCUUGGGGUCCGCCUUAAAAAACUGAGGAACUAAACAUAAACGCAGACGAUAAUUUCGUUUUAGCAGCUUAAUAUAGUUGCUCGUUCUCCCUAUGCUUCCCACGGCGUAGGAUCAGAACGUCAUUAAGGUGGGGAACUGCUUUAGGGAUGCCUUGACCUAAAAGCUGACUAAUUAAGGCUGGUCUGAUCAGUAGCCUGUCAUUGGGCGAUUGUGAUGACGAGAAUUAAAACAAUGACUGCACUCGGAGAAUCUAUUGGUAAAGGACUUUCGGACAGGGGUUCGAUUCA